GAUGAACGCUGGCGGCGUGCCUAAUACAUGCAAGUCGAGCGAACAGACGAGGAGCUUGCUCCUCUGACGUUAGCGGCGGACGGGUGAGUAACACGUGGAUAACCUACCUAUAAGACUGGGAUAACUUCGGGAAACCGGAGCUAAUACCGGAUAAUAUAUUGAACCGCAUGGUUCAAUAGUGAAAGACGGUUUUGCUGUCACUUAUAGAUGGAUCCGCGCCGCAUUAGCUAGUUGGUAAGGUAACGGCUUACCAAGGCAACGAUGCGUAGCCGACCUGAGAGGGGGAUCGGCCACACUGGAACUGAGACGCGGACCAGACUCCUACGGGAGGCAGCAGUAGGGAAUCUUCCGCAAUGGGCGAAAGCUUGACGGAGCAACGCCGCGUGAGUGAUGAAGGUCUUCGGAUCGUAAAACUCUGUUAUUAGGGAAGAACAAAUGUGUAAGUAACUAUGCACGUCUUGACGGUACCUAAUCAGAAAGCCACGGCUAACUACGUG
rnacentral:rRNA from 1 species